rfam:Dipodomys ordii contig_9271, whole genome shotgun sequence.
GGGAAGUUGGCUCAGUGGUAGAGCGCUUGCCUCGUGUGCAUGAGGCCCUGGGUUCGAUUCCUUAACACCACA